CCCAGGGAACAAGACAUUGGCAGCAGCCAUUAUUGUGACCUAGUACAGGCAUGCUGACACAGAUGCCAGCAGACGCCAUUGGAGUUCUUCCUCUGGCCUGUUAGCCCAGGGGUUGGCACCACAUACUAAAGCACUGAUUUAAUCCAGUUCAGCCGUGGCAGGCAGUUGGCCCUUGGCACUGGCUGGCCCCACUCAACAGCAAGCCCUCAGGCAAUUCAUGGGCCCACAUAAGCAGGGUGCCUGAAAACUCUGGCUGCCAGAGAAAGUGUCUCCUAGUGUCAGUUGAUGACCAUCAUCUUCUUGGGCAGAACUUGGAGGUUGACCACCUCAAGGACCACCGCUCAGGCCAUACACGGACUCACCUUGGCUCAGACGUCUCUACUUCCUGCAGCCUCCCAUCACACUACCCAACCGAAAAAUCCUUGAAGGCAAGAACUUCAUCUGCUAGUUUUUAUCCCUGACAACAUCUAAGAUUCUGUGCUCACCAAGGAUGUUAAAUAAAUGUUGCUGAGUGACUUGAGC
rnacentral:lncRNA from 1 species